GCAGGCCGGCUUGCCGCUGCCGGCUUCGGCCGGGGGAGGAAAGUCCGGGCAACACAGGGCGUUCCGCUUCCUAACGGGAAGUAAUCCGCGAGUGUUAGAGCAUGCAGAAGAAAACAACCGCCCCCCGCAAGGGAGGUAAGGGUGAGAAGGCGGGGUAAGAGCCCACCGGGCGGAUGGCGACAUCCGUGCCGUGCAUUCCGGAAGUUGAAAGUCCGCGUAUACCGGCGACACAAGAGAGGGCUGCCCGCCCGAGCCGGAGGGUAGGACGAUGGAGCCUUGCGGCGACGCAAGGCCUGGAUAAAUGGCAGGCGCCCGCCACGUGCGGGAACAGAACCCGGCUUACAGGCUUGCUGC
rnacentral:RNase_P_RNA from 1 species